rnacentral:rRNA from 1 species
ACAGCAGUAGCCGCGGUAAUACAGAGGGUGCGAGCGUUAAUCGGAUUUACUGGGCGUAAAGCGUGCGUAGGCGGCUUCUUAAGUCGGAUGUGAAAUCCCUGAGCUUAACUUAGGAAUUGCAUUCGAUACUGGGAAGCUAGAGUAUGGGAGAGGAUGGUAGAAUUCCAGGUGUAGCGGUGAAAUGCGUAGAGAUCUGGAGGAAUACCGAUGGCGAAGGCAGCCAUCUGGCCUAAUACUGACGCUGAGGUACGAAAGCAUGGGGAGCAAACAGGAUUAGAUACCCCUGUAGUCCCUGUCUCUUAUAU